rnacentral:pre_miRNA from 1 species
AGUGGGAUAGCUGGGUCGAAUAGUAGUUCUAGUCCCAGUUUUCUAAGGAAUCUCGAUACUGCUUUCCAGAGUGGUUAUACCAAUUUGCAGUGCCACCAGCAAU